rnacentral:misc_RNA from 1 species
UGUUGUUAUGACAGCUUUUGGAUCAGUUGAAGCCCUCUCGACUUGUUUGCGGACAUUGCAUCCAGGAUAUGUGCACCGAUAGUAACUCCUUGGAUGCUGAGUCCCCUUUACCACCUUCUGCCCAUAUUUUCGCCAUUUAUAUCCAUCAUCUAAGAAAUCAACUUCACUUCUCGUCUGCAGAACAAUCUUGGAUUCAGCUACUGUGACAUGUGAUGAAGCUACAGUCUCAAUUGCCG